UUCCAGCUCCAGUAGCGUAUAUUAAAGUUGUUGCAGUUAAAACGCUCGUAGUCGAACUUCGGGCUUGGCGGGAUGGUCCGCCUUACGGUGUGUACUAUUCUGCUGAGCCUUACCUCUUGGUGAGACCUCAUGCUCUUUAUUGGGUGUGGGGUGGAACCAGGAAUUUUACCUUGAGAAUAUUAGAGUGUUCAAAGCAGGCAAACGCCCGAAUACAUUAGCAUGGAAUAAUGGAAUAGGACGUGCGGUUCUAUUUUGUUGGUUUCUAGGAUCGCCGUAAUGAUUAAUAGGGACGGUCGGGGGCAUUAGUAUUCCAUUGCUAGAGGUGAAAUUCUUAGAUUUAUGGAAGACUAACUACUGCGAAAGCAUUUGCCAAGGACGUUUUCAUCG
rnacentral:rRNA from 1 species